rnacentral:rRNA from 1 species
GUCGAGGAUCUUCGGCAAUGGGCGCAAGCCUGACCGAGCGACGCCGCGUGCGCGAUGAAGGCCUUCGGGUUGUAAAGCGCUGUCGAGGGGGAGGAAAGCCCGCAAGGGUCUGACCUAUCCCUGGAGGAAGCACGGGCUAAGUUCGUGCCAGCAGCCGCGGUAAGACGAACCGUGCAAACGUUGUUCGGAAUCACUGGGCUUAAAGGGCGCGUAGGCGGGUUCCCAAGUCGGUGGUGAAAUCUUUCGGCCCAACCGGAAAAGUGCCGCCGAUACUGGGAGUCUCGAGGGAGGUAGGGGUCGAUGGAACUUCCGGUGGAGCGGUGAAAUGCGUAGAUAUCGGAAGGAACGCCGGUGGCGAAAGCGAUCGACUGGACCUCUUCUGACGCUGAGGCGCGAAAGCCAGGGGAGCAAACGGGAUUAGAAACCCCAGUAGUCC